rnacentral:rRNA from 1 species
CAGCAGCCGCGGUAAUACGUAGGGUGCAAGCGUUAAUCGGACUUACUGGGCGUAAAGCGUGCGCAGGCGGUUCGGAAAGAAAGAUGUGAAAUCCCAGAGCUUAACUUUGGAACUGCAUUUUUAACUACCGGGCUAGAGUGUGUCAGAGGGAGGUGGAAUUCCGCGUGUAGCAGUGAAAUGCGUAGAUAUGCGGAGGAACACCGAUGGCGAAGGCAGCCUCCUGGGAUAACACUGACGCUCAUGCACGAAAGCGUAGGGAGCAAACAGGAUUAGAUACCCUGGUAGUCCACGCCCUAAACGAUGUCAACUAGCUGUUGGGGCCUUCGGGCCUUGGUAGCGCAGCUAACGCGUGAAGUUGACCGCCUGGGGAGUACGGUCGCAAGAUUAAAACUUAAAGGAAUUGGCGGG